rnacentral:rRNA from 1 species
UACGUAGGGUGCAAGCGUUGUCCGGAAUUAUUGGGCGUAAAGAGCUCGUAGGCGGUUUGUCGCGUCUGCUGUGAAAACUGGGGGCUCAACCCCCAGCCUGCAGUGGGUACGGGCAGACUAGAGUGCGGUAGGGGAGAUUGGAAUUCCUGGUGUAGCGGUGGAAUGCGCAGAUAUCAGGAGGAACACCGAUGGCGAAGGCAGAUCUCUGGGCCGCAACUGACGCUGAGGAGCGAAAGCAUGGGGAGCGAACAGG